rnacentral:lncRNA from 1 species
UAUAUAGAUUCCACCACUGCAUCGAGUGUAAUACGAUAUUUAUCCACUCGAGACAGUUAAAUUUUCAAAUUUAAAGUCCGAGCCGCCUCGGCGAGGACUUUAAAAUUGAUAAUUUAACUGUCGAGAUUGGAUAAAUAUCGUAUUACACGAGAUUUGGUGGUGGAAUCUGUUUCUCUAAUGAUUUUCUAACAGUAUGCAGGCAAACUUAUUCCUUCUUUUCGAAUGAUCUGAAAAAGAUGUGUUCUUUCUAUGUGACGUCGUCAGGCAUGGUCGCCUUUUUUCAUGCCGUCACAAUAGGAAAUUCAGAGGAAAGCAAACAAAUUCGACGUCACAAUCGGAUUUUAACCAAUGAAGUACUGAGAUCAAACGAACCACACGUUGAUUAAAUUUUUUAUACAAUGGGUGCAGAAAGGGAUAAAUUGACGAAGAAUUAGAGAAAUAUAUAUAUAUAUAUAUAUAUAUA